GGGUACGUGGUCGAGUGGCAAGACGUCCGCAACAAAACUAGCACCUGGCCCGGCGUCUCUGCAGGUUUGACCCCUGUAAUAUGAUUUCUGGGUCAGAACUAGCUCGCCUGCGGGAAAUCCUGAGUUCGAUUCUCAGCGUAUCCA